rnacentral:rRNA from 1 species
AUUGAACGCUGGCGGAAUGCUUUACACAUGCAAGUCGAGCGGCAGCGCGGGGGCAACCCUGGCGGCGAGCGGCGAACGGGUGAGUAAUAUAUCGGAACGUACCCCGUCGUGGGGGAUAACACAGCGAAAGCUGUGCUAAUACCGCAUACGACCUGAGGGUGAAAGCGGGGGAUCGCAAGACCUCGCGCGAUGGGAGCGGCCGAUAUCGGAUUAGCUUGUUGGUGAGGUAAAGGCUCACCAAGGCGACGAUCCGUAGCUGGUCUGAGAGGACGACCAGCCACACUGGAACUGAGACACGGUCCAGACUCCUACGGGAGGCAGCAGUGGGGAAUUUUGGACAAUGGGCGCAAGCCUGAUCCAGCCAUGCCGCGUGAGUGAAGAAGGGCCUUCGGGUUGGUUAAAGGACUCUUUCGGUUGGGGAAGGAAAUUAGCUUCGGCGUAAUACCUGGAGUAGAGUGACGGUACCCGCACUAAGAAGACACCGGCUAACUACGUAGCC